UACGAAGGGGGCUAGCGUUGCUCGGAAUAACUGGGCGUAAAGGGUGCGUAGGCGGGUCUUUAAGUCAGGGGGGAAAUCCUGGAGCUCAACUCCAGAACUGCCUUUGAUACUGAGGAUCUUGAGUUCGGGAGAGGUGAGUGGAACUGCGAGUGUAGAGGUGAAAUUCGUAGAUAUUCGCAAGAACACCAGUGGCGAAGGCGGCUCACUGGCCCGACACUGACGCUGAGGCACGAAAGCGUGGGGAGCGAACAGG
rnacentral:rRNA from 1 species